rnacentral:lncRNA from 1 species
GGUGAAGCUGCCUGCGCCUGCGCUGCUGGGCCCGCUUCGCUCGUGGGGAGGGGGCUUAGAGGAAGUGUGCUUGUGUGUGUGCGUGUGCGUGUGCAUGUGCGUGUGCGUGUGUGUGUGUGUGUUGCUUCCUCCUGGACACUCCAUACCACAUCCUCGUGUCUCUGUGCGGACCUGCUGUGCUGCAGGCUGUGCCGGUAGCCAGGGAUCACAGAGUUGCUACCUCCCCUGCCUGAGCCACAGAGCCAACAAGGCCACAGGGAAUGCUGCCACCCUAGUACAGGGUAAUCCAAGCCACAAGAUGAAAGGUAGGCUGGCCCGAGAAUUAUGCAUGAGCCAGGUUCUUGUUGGAGACCACACUGUAUGAUCAAGCCGUCCUGUGCAGAGAUGGAGGC